rnacentral:rRNA from 1 species
ACAACAGCCAUAGUUUAUUGGAUGUUUACGUUCCUACAAGGACACCUGCGGUAAUUCUGGAGCUAAUACUUGCGAAAUGCGACAACCUCACGGGAGUCGUGCAUUUAUUAGAUUAAACCAAUCGGUCCUUCGGGACCGCCAUUUGGUGAACUCUGAAUAACUUAGCUGAUCGCAUAGUCUCGUACUGGCGACAAAUCUUUCAAGUGUCUGCCUUAUCAACUUUCGAUGGUAGUUUAUACGACUACCAUGGUUGUAACGGGUAACGGAGAAUAAGGGUUCGACUCCGGAGAGGGAGCCUGAGAAACGGCUACCACAUCCAAGGAAGGCAGCAGGCGCGCAAAUUACCCACUCGCAGAACGCGGAGGUAGUGACGAAAAAUAACGAGGUGGCUCUCUAUGAGGUCCAUCAUCGGAAUGGGUACAAUUUAAAUCCUUUAACGAGGAUCUAUUGGAGGGCAAGUCUGGUGCCAGCAGCCGCGGUAAUUCCAGCU